UGUGACCCAAGGGCAAGAGAGUAACAGCUUUGUCCUCCGGAGCACAAACCGGACUUGCAGCCAUUUUAACUGCGCGUACCUGGACCGAGAGAAGAACCAAAUAUGUGUUUACAACUCUGCUACCACAGGCAGCCUGGCCUUCCCCGGUGAGCUGAGCCCUCCACUAUUUGGAGGAUCCAUCAUCUUGGUCCAUGCUGCUGCUCUGAAGCUGUUUGCUGGUUUCUAAAUUGUCCUAUUCGUGUUACUCACUCUUUCUCUCUAACACAAAUCAGUCUGAUGGGACUUGCCAGAUCCAAAGUUGUCCUGCUAUUCUGCUCGCAUUCCAAAGGGAACCAGGAACAUGGAGGGAGUGUCGCUGGUACCUGCUUGGGCAAGCUUUGAUUAUACGUUACCAAUGAGUAAAUCAAAACUUGAAGCUCAUAGCUCUAUUCCAGGUGUGAUUUGUCUUACAAUGGUAGAGCUUUAAAUUGGUGCAUGUUAGGUAAAUAAUUACUUGUAUUCCUGUCAUGCUAGCACUUUCAUAUCAACUUUUGAUAACUUCAGUAAAAGACUUUUA